AUGGCUUCGCCGUCGCCAUCGCCGCCGCCGCAAAAGAAAAGGAAGGGCACGGCGGGGAGCAGAGACCGCCUGAGCGACCUCCCAGACCCCCUGCUGGACCACGUCCUUUCCUUCCUCCCGAACAAGGAGGCCGGCCGCGCCGCCGGGCUGUCCCGGCGGUGGCGCGACGUCUUCUGCAACGUCCACGCCGUCUCCUUCGGGGAGCGCCCGGGCGCCAGCGCCAACGACUGGACCACCUUCUACCACGAGGCGGACGAGAAGAAGAGCUGCAGCGCGGCGCUCCUCGACGACGUCUGCUCCGCGCUCCUCUGCCGCCGCCGGACCGCCGGCCACCACGUGCCGCUGCGCAGCUUCCGCUUCGUCUUCGACCGGUGCCACCACUGGAACUUCGUCCACGUCGACCAGUGGCUCUCCUACGUGCUGCGGCACGGCAACCAGGAGCUCCACCUCGACCUGCGCUUCAAGAUCGCCCCGAUCUGUCUCCUCCGCGAUAAGAAAGAGGACGAGGCGGUGGACAGCGGCACCGACAACACCGACGACGAGGACAGGUUCGCCAAGCUGAGGAGGCGGUGGGUAUAUGUCCUCCCGAGAAGGCUCUUCACCUGCAGGGUCAUACGGACGCUAUGCGUCGCCUAUUGCCGGCUGAAACUGCCGGCGGCCGUCAGCCUGCCGCUCCUCGAGACUCUGAGCAUCACGGCUCCCCAUUCCGAUGGUGGGAGGAGCAUCCAGCGGCUGAUCUCCGGCUGCCCCCGCCUCACCGACCUAACGCUGGAAGCUGUCCACCGCCUGAAGAGAGUAUCCGUCCUCGACAAACGCCUCUGCAGGUUCGCCCUUCGCUGCUGUCACAACAUGAAGUCUGUCGACAUCGACGCGUCGGAGCUGAGGUCGCUGGACUACUGCGGCAUGGUGCCUGCCGAGCCGCUCCUGACCUUACACGGCUCGCCGGGAGUCCCGUCGUGCACCGUGGACUUCUGCAGUGUGCUCUCCGAGGAUGCAGAGACUGGAGAGCAGGUUCUUCCUAGGUUUCCCUCCAUUCUGACGCGGCUCGUGUUGCAAGGGCCCCUCGUGAACUGCGGCACCGUCGUCUCCGUGGGUAGAAUCCUGGAGCAGACCCCGAACCUGGAGGUCCUGUCGCUCUACAUGGAAGAGCAUGUCGUGUACACGAAAAACAAAGAUGAUACCAUGGGCAGGGACCUGACCAUGAGCGAGGAAGAUGAGGAGGAUGACGCCGUGGAGAAGGAGAAGGAUGCGGAUGAUUCGUUGGUAGCUCCUGAUGAGGAGUCCAUGGUUCCUGACGAGUCGAGCUUCUCGAUGCCGUGUCUGCGGCACCGAGUGAAGGAGAUCAACAUGGUGCACUACGUGGGCGACGAGACGCAGAGGAUGAUGGCCAGGCUGCUGUUCGGCAACGCUCUUGUGCUUGAGAGGAUGUGCGUCGUCCUCGUGAAGGGGACGUUCGCGCUGCAGUCUAGGCUCAAGAACGAGAUCGAGAGCUGGGUGGUGGCCGAUGCAGAAAAGGUUUUCCUGUGA
rnacentral:rRNA from 1 species